rnacentral:rRNA from 1 species
GACGAACGCUUGCGGCGUGCUUAACACAUGCAAGUCGAACGGAAAGGCCCUGCUUUUGUGGGGUGCUCGAGUGGCGAACGGGUGAGUAACACGUGAGUAACCUGCCCUUGACUUUGGGAUAACUUCAGGAAACUGGGGCUAAUACCGGAUAGGAGCUCCUGCUGCAUGGUGGGGGUUGGAAAGUUUCGGCGGUUGGGGAUGGACUCGCGGCUUAUCAGCUUGUUGGUGGGGUAGUGGCUUACCAAGGCUUUGACGGGUAGCCGGCCUGAGAGGGUGACCGGCCACAUUGGGACUGAGAUACGGCCCAGACUCCUACGGGAGGCAGCAGUGGGGAAUAUUGCACAAUGGGCGGAAGCCUGAUGCAGCAACGCCGCGUGCGGGAUGACGGCCUUCGGGUUGUAAACCGCUUUCGCCUGUGACGAAGCGUGAGUGACGGUAAUGGGUAAAGAAGCACCGGCUAACUACGUGCCAGCAGCCGCGGUGAUACGUAGGGUGCGAGCGUUGUCCGGAUUUAUUGGGCGUAAAGGGCUCGUAGGUGGUUGAUCGCGUCGGAAGUGUAAUCUUGGGGCUUAACCCUGAGCGUGCUUUCGAUACGGGUUGACUUGAGGAAGGUAGGGGAGUAUGGAAUUCCUGGUGGAGCGGUGGAAUGCGCAGAUAUCAGGAGGAACACCAGUGGCGAAGGCGGUUCUCUGGGCCUUUCCUGACGCUGAGGAGCGAAAGCGUGGGGAGCGAACAGGCUUAGAUACCCUGGUAGUCCACGCUGUAAACGGUGGGUACUAGGUGUGGGGUCCAUUCCACGGGUUCCGUGCCGUAGCUAACGCUUUAAGUACCCCGCCUGGGGAGUACGGCCGCAAGGCUAAAACUCAAAGGAAUUGACGGGGCCCCGCACAAGCGGCGGAGCAUGCGGAUUAAUUCGAUGCAACGCGUAGAACCUUACCUGGGUUUGACAUGGAUCGGGAGUGCUCAGAGAUGGGUGUGCCUCUUUUGGGGUCGGUUCACAGGUGGUGCAUGCCUGUCGUCAGCUCGUGUCGUGAGAUGUUGGGUUAAGUCCCGCAACGAGCGCAACCCUUGUUCACUGUUGCCAGCACGUUAUGGUGGGGACUCAGUGGAGACCGCCGGGGUCAACUCGGAGGAAGGUGGGGAUGACGUCAAGUCAUCAUGCCCCUUAUGUCCAGGGCUUCACGCAUGCUACAAUGGCUGGUACAGAGAGUGGCGAGCCUGUGAGGGUGAGCGAAUCUCGGAAAGCCGGUCUCAGUUCGGAUUGGGGUCUGCAACUCGACCUCAUGAAGUCGGAGUCGCUAGUAAUCGCAGAUCAGCAACGCUGCGGUGAAUACGUUCCCGGG